rnacentral:lncRNA from 1 species
GAGAGAGAGAGAGAGAGAAUUAGGCUGGAAUGCUUCUAAUAGCUAAACCAAGUCAUUGGUGCUAUUAGGUUUCAGCCCUUGGAUGUGCGGUUAGGAUGAUAAUGGUCCCCUAAGGUUGAGUGGAUGGUUGGUUGAAUAGUAUAAUCUAACGGAUGAAAAUUGUCAAAAGGAGUAACUCUAACGGUGGAAAACUUGGUAGCACCAAAUGUUUGGUGCUAUUAGAAGCACCCCAGCCGGACUUAUAUAUAUAUAUAUAGAGAGAGAGAGAGAGUCUGGCUACUAUACUAUCGAUAGUACCAAGCCCUUGGUACUAUUGAGUUUUCUAUUGUUAGAUCUACCCUUUGAUCAUUUCUACCUGUUAGAUUAUACUAUUAAACCAACCACCCACUCAACCCUAGGGGAUCACUAUCAAUUUAACCGGGACCACUAUCAUCCUAACCGCACAUCUUUUCAUCCAACGGCCGAAAACUCAAUAGUACCAAGGGCUUGGUGCUAUUAAUAGUAUAUAUUCCAACCUAGUUCUAUAUAUAGAGAGAGAGAGAGAGCUAGGCUCCUAUGCUUUCGAAAGUACGGAGGCCUCCGUGCUUGUAAAUUGUUUUCAAUGAUGGGACGUCCGAUUCGGCGAUCGGUUCUGUUAAACAUGAUAUACGCUAUUGGAACUAUCUAGAAACAAAAUUUCAUAAUUUUUUGACUUCGUUUGCCUAGUGAAUGAGUAGCCUCAAAAUGAACGGCUGAAAAUAAAAAUCUCAUAAAAAACAGUGAUAAAUCACUCAAAUUUCAAAUCGGAAGUAUUGUUCUUGCUCUUGAUGUUAAGUAGAAUUUUCUAUUAAAGUUUCAUGUAAUUUGGAUACUUCUACACCGUUGAACUUAAAAACGUGCCACAUCGGUCGUUAAAAUAGUCAUUUUUGAGACCUUGUGAUCGCUUGGUAAAUGAUGUCGAAAAAUUAUAAAAUUUGGUUUCUAGAUAAUCCUAAUAGCAUAGAUUAUGCCUAACGGAGCCGAUCGUCG